rnacentral:lncRNA from 1 species
CUUUUGAGUUAGCUUUAAUAGUAAUCAUAAUUUAAAUAUUCAUUAAAUAUACAAAAAUUUUAAAAUGUUAUAAUUUUGCUUCUAAUUGUCAGGAUAAAAAAAUUUUAAAAAUGAAUUGUGCAUAUUUAAAAGCUCUACAAUAUUGGUUUCAUAAGAAAAAUAAAUUGUGACAAUAAAUUUGAUUGGUUCUUGCUGCAACUGCAAGAACUAUUGUAAGCUACAUUGAAAUAAGCCAAUCAGAGCAAAGCUUAUAACAACAAACCUGAAACUAAUAUGGCUGCCACUAACUUGUGCAUUUGAAUGUUUUCUCAAACUUUUCUCAUCAAUUGCAGUUUUAUUACAAGAAUUAAGUUUUAAUUUUGCAUUUGGAAACCAAAACAUAUAAAUAUGCCUAAAAGAAAAAGCAUAUUUAUAUUGAUUGUCCAAAAAAAAGACAUUUUCAUGCAACUAAUAUCAGAAAAAGAAUAUUGGCAGUGAAACUAUUGAUGAGGAGAUCCCACAGAAACUUAACACAUCUGUUUCAAAAAAAACUUAGCAUCAAGACAGUUAGUAAAAGCAUUCCUAAAUUAUCUGGAUAUCAUUUUUUUUACGUUGAAAUGCUUUUAUUUAUGAAUAAUUUUCCUUGCUCAAAAUCCAGUAUUACUAUGGGCUACAAUGUUCAAGAAUUUAGAUGUGGUCUUCUGCCAAUAUUUACUUUUAUCUGUAUCCUGUGAAUAUCAAAUUAAAUUUUAUAACUCUUAUAUUGAGCAUUGUUCUGUGGCACCUAUAAAUACAAGAUUUAUAAUUUCAAUAUAUAAUAUUGGAAGAAAUUAUAAACAAUGUAAGCACUUUCUUGGUAAUAUGAAUAUGCCAUCAAAUUGAAACAAAAAAAGUUGUAAAGUACAUACAUAGUGCUUGUGAAUUAAUGGCCAUGGAUUCAAUGAGUUUAGCUGCUGAACAACUUUCUAAUGUGACUGAAGGCUCUGAACCAAAAGAAGUGAUUGUAUCCUGUGAUAAUACAUAGCAAAAAAGAAGCUUUCAGUCAAAAAUUAGUAUGUUUACAAUGCUUUUUGUUAGAAAGGAAAUUCCCUCAAAAGUUCUUGAUAUACACACUAGUAGUACUUACUGCAAUAAUUAUAAUAAAAUGAAAAAAAUUGACAAAAUAUGAAUUUGAAACUGACAUGAUGAUUUAAAACAGCCUGUGGAAAAAAACUAUAAUCAAAUGACUGGGAUCAGUGGAACCUACUGGAGUGGAUAUUAUUUUUAGAUGUUCAAUUAAUGUCCAUAAUUUAAUUUAUGCUAGCUAUUUAGAUGAUAGUGGUAGUAAAAGUUAUCAUAUUGCUAUUGCUGACCCUAUACAGGGUGCCCACGUUUCGGUGGACCAGGCAUUUUUCUCGAAGGCUGUCGGGUGUGCGUGAAAAC